UACGGGGGGGGCAAGCGUUGUUCGGAAUUACUGGGCGUAAAGGGCUCGUAGGCGGCCAACUAAGUCAGACGUGAAAUCCCUCGGCUUAACCGGGGAACUGCGUCUGAUACUGGAUGGCUUGAAUCCGGGAGAGGGAUGCGGAAUUCCAGGUGUAGCGGUGAAAUGCGUAGAUAUCUGGAGGAACACCGGUGGCGAAGGCGGCAUCCUGGACCAACACUGACGCUGAGGAGCGAAAGCCAGGGGAGCAAACGGG
rnacentral:rRNA from 1 species